rnacentral:rRNA from 3 species
AACGACUCUCGGCAACGGAUAUCUCGGCUCUCGCAUCGAUGAAGAACGUAGCGAAAUGCGAUACUUGGUGUGAAUUGCAGAAUCCCGCGAACCAUCGAGUCUUUGAACGCAAGUUGCGCCCGAAGCCAUCAGGCCGAGGGCACGUCUGGCUGGGUGUCACGCAAC